UACGGCGAGUGAGCGGCAAAAGCUCAAAUUUGAAAUCUAGCACUUUCAGUGUUCGAGUUGUAAUUUGAAGAAGGUAACUUUGGUUUUGGCUCUUGUCUAUGUUCCUUGGAACAGGACGUCACAGAGGGUGAGAAUCCCGUGCGAUGAGAUGCCCAAUUCCAUGUAAAGUGCUUUCGAAGAGUCGAGUUGUUUGGGAAUGCAGCUCUAAGUGGGUGGUAAAUUCCAUCUAAAGCUAAAUAUUGGCGAGAGACCGAUAGCGAACAAGUACAGUGAUGGAAAGAUGAAAAGAACUUUGAAAAGAGAGUGAAAAAGUACGUGAAAUUGUUGAAAGGGAAGGGCUUGAGAUCAGACUUGGUAUUUUGCGUUCCCUUCCUUUUUGGUUGGGUUCCUCGCAGUUUACUGGGCCAGCAUCGGGUUUGGAUGGUAGGAUAAUGACAUUGGAAUGUAGCUUUACUUCGGUGAAGUGUUAUAGACUUUGUUGAUACUGCCUAUCUGGACCGAGGACUGCGUCUUUGACUAGGAUGCUGGCGUAAUGAUCUUU
rnacentral:rRNA from 1 species